UUUGCACAGAUUGGAAACCGAUAAAGUUCGAAAAUAAAAUUAAAAUAAACAGAAAUCUACUGAGCGUUCGCGAGUUUGUGCUGUUUCCACGGCCUAGAGGAAUUGCCAAGCGGGAUUGUUGCCUACUUCCAAUGCCGCACUGUUUGAAGGCCAUACGGAACCGAAACCAAGUCUGAGACCAUGAGCGGAAGCUGAAUGGAAAGCGUCGUCAAAUCAUCGUCCCACUGCUCUCAGUUUCUGGAAAAUCAGACCAAUUUCGAAUCGGAGGAUCAUCGAAACAGCUAUUCGUCUUCCGCUGAUCUCCUAUUCACAGGAAAAUAUCAAGUACCCCAGUCAAGGAAGAUGUCAACCCUUCUAGAAGUUAUCUGGUGGAAGCGGAAGUGGAUGCUACGAGUUCUUCCCAUGCAUGAAAUCAACUCGGAUGCGUUAGAUAAUCCGGAUGGCUGGGUUUUGGACCAAACAACUAAACCUUGUGCGUAGCGUAUUUCGGAAAAAUGCUGUGACUAUGGAUCGCUCCUGUUACCUGAAUAAUUCCUGAUUUAUUA